rnacentral:rRNA from 1 species
GGGUGGUAAUGCCGGAUGCUCCGGUUGGAUGCAUGUCCUUCCGGGAAAGAUUCUAUCGGUAUGGGAUGGGGUCGCGUCCUAUCAGCUUGAUGGCGGGGUAACGGCCCACCAUGGCUUCGACGGGUAGCCGGCCUGAGAGGGCGACCGGCCACAUUGGGACUGAGAUACGGCCCAGACUCCUACGGGAGGCAGCAGUGGGGAAUAUUGCACAAUGGGCGCAAGCCUGAUGCAGCGACGCCGCGUGCGGGAUGGAGGCCUUCGGGUUGUAAACCGCUUUUGAUCGGGAGCAAGCCCUUCGGGGUGAGUGUACCUUUCGAAUAAGCACCGGCUAACUACGUGCCAGCAGCCGCGGUAAUACGUAGGGUGCAAGCGUUAUCCGGAAUUAUUGGGCGUAAAGGGCUCGUAGGCGGUUCGUCGCGUCCGGUGUGAAAGCCCAUCGCUUAACGGUGGGUCUGCGCCGGGUACGGGCGGGCUGGAGUGCGGUAGGGGAGACUGGAAUUCCCGGUGUAACGGUGGAAUGUGUAGAUAUCGG